rnacentral:miRNA from 1 species
UUUGUCCAGGUUUAGAUAAUA